CCUACGGGAGGCAGCAGUGAGGAAUAUUGGUCAAUGGGCGCGAGCCUGAACCAGCCAAGUCGCGUGCAGGAUGACGGCCCUACGGGUUGUAAACUUCUUUUAUACGGGAAUAAAGUGCCUUACGCGUCCGGCUUUGCAUGUACCUUAUGAAUAAGGACCGGCUAAAUCCGUGCCAGCAGCCGCGGUAAUACGGAGGGUCCGGGCGUUAUCCGGAUUUAUUGGGUUUAAAGGGUGCGUAGGCGGCCUUUUAAGCCUGCUGUGAAAUUUUGGGGCUCAACCCUGGAAUUGCAGUGGGAACUGGGGGGCUUGAGUCUGUGGAAGGCAGGCGGAAUGCGUGGUGUAGCGGUGAAAUGCUUAGAUAUGACGAAGAACCCCGAUUGCGAAGGCAGCUUGCUGAGGCGGAACUGACGCUGAUGCACGAAAGCGUGGGGAUCGAACAGGAUUAGAUACCCUUGUAGUC
rnacentral:rRNA from 1 species